rnacentral:rRNA from 1 species
AGAGUUUGAUCCUGGCUCAGGAUGAACGCCGGCGGUGUGCCUAAUACAUGCAAGUCGUACGCACUGGCCCAACUGAUUGAUGGUGCUUGCACCUGAUUGACGAUGGAUCACCAGUGAGUGGCGGACGGGUGAGUAACACGUAGGUAACCUGCCUCGGAGCGGGGGAUAACAUUUGGAAACAGAUGCUAAUACCGCAUAACAACAAAAGCCACAUGGCUUUUGUUUGAAAGAUGGCUUUGGCUAUCACUCUGGGAUGGACCUGCGGUGCAUUAGCUAGUUGGUAAGGUAACGGCUUACCAAGGCAAUGAUGCAUAGCCGAGUUGAGAGACUGAUCGGCCACAAUGGAACUGAGACACGGUCCAUACUCCUACGGGAGGCAGCAGUAGGGAAUUUUCCACAAUGGGCGCAAGCCUGAUGGAGCAACACCGCGUGAGUGAAGAAGGGUUUCGGCUCGUAAAGCUCUGUUGUUGGAGAAGAACGUGCGUGAGAGUAACUGUUCACGCAGUGACGGUAUCCAACCAGAAAGUCACGGCUAACUACGUGCCAGCAGCCGCGGUAAUACGUAGGUGGCAAGCGUUAUCCGGAUUUAUUGGGCGUAAAGCGAGCGCAGGCGGUUGCUUAGGUCUGAUGUGAAAGCCUUCGGCUUAACCGAAGAAGUGCAUCGGAAACCGGGCGACUUGAGUGCAGAAGAGGACAGUGGAACUCCAUGUGUAGCGGUGGAAUGCGUAGAUAUAUGGAAGAACACCAGUGGCGAAGGCGGCUGUCUGGUCUGCAACUGACGCUGAGGCUCGAAAGCAUGGGUAGCGAACAGGAUUAGAUACCCUGGUAGUCCAUGCCGUAAACGAUGAGUGCUAGGUGUUGGAGGGUUUCCGCCCUUCAGUGCCGGAGCUAACGCAUUAAGCACUCCGCCUGGGGAGUACGACCGCAAGGUUGAAACUCAAAGGAAUUGACGGGGGCCCGCACAAGCGGUGGAGCAUGUGGUUUAAUUCGAAGCUACGCGAAGAACCUUACCAGGUCUUGACAUCUUGCGCUAACCUUAGAGAUAAGGCGUUCCCUUCGGGGACGCAAUGACAGGUGGUGCAUGGUCGUCGUCAGCUCGUGUCGUGAGAUGUUGGGUUAAGUCCCGCAACGAGCGCAACCCUUGUUACUAGUUGCCAGCAUUAAGUUGGGCACUCUAGUGAGACUGCCGGUGACAAACCGGAGGAAGGUGGGGACGACGUCAGAUCAUCAUGCCCCUUAUGACCUGGGCUACACACGUGCUACAAUGGACGGUACAACGAGUCGCAAGCUCGCGAGAGUAAGCUAAUCUCUUAAAGCCGUUCUCAGUUCGGACUGUAGGCUGCAACUCGCCUACACGAAGUCGGAAUCGCUAGUAAUCGCGGAUCAGCAUGCCGCGGUGAAUACGUUCCCGGGCCUUGUAC